UACGAAGGGGGCUAGCGUUGUUCGGAUUUACUGGGCGUAAAGCGCAUGUAGGCGGGCCGUUAAGUUGGGGGUGAAAGCCCGAGGCUCAACCUCGGAAUUGCCUUCAAAACUGGCGGCCUGGAGCAGAAGAGAGGCGAGUGGAAUUCCGAGUGUAGAGGUGAAAUUCGUAGAUAUUCGGAGGAACACCAGUGGCGAAGGCGACUCGCUGGCUUCUUGCUGACGCUGAGAUGCGAAAGCGUGGGGAGCAAACAGG
rnacentral:rRNA from 1 species